GGGGAAUAUUGGACAAUGGGCGAAAGCCUGAUCCAGCCAUGCCGCGUGUGUGAAGAAGGUCUUCGGAUUGUAAAGCACUUUAAGUUGGGAGGAAGGGUUGUAGAUUAAUACUCUGCAAUUUUGACGUUACCGACAGAAUAAGCACCGGCUAACUUCGUGCCAGCAGCCGCGGUAAUACGGAGGGUGCAAGCGUUAAUCGGAAUUACUGGGCGUAAAGCGCACGCAGGCGGUCUGUCAAGUCGGAUGUGAAAUCCCCGGGCUCAACCUGGGAACUGCAUUCGAAACUGGCAGGCUUGAGUCUCGUAGAGGGGGGUGGAAUUUCCUGUGUAGCGGUGAAAUGCGUAGAUAUAGGAAGGAACACCAGUGGCGAAGGCGACCACCUGGACUGAUACUGACACUGAGGUGCGAAAGCGUGGGGAGCAAACA
rnacentral:rRNA from 1 species